UACGUAGGUGACCAGCGUUGUCCGGAAUCAUUGGGCGUAAAGAGCGUGUAGGCGGUCCGGUAAGUCCGCUGUGAAAGUCGGGGGCUCAACCCUCGAAUGCCGGUGGAUACUGUCGGGCUAGAGUGCGGAAGAGGCGAGUGGAAUUCCUGGUGUAGCGGUGAAAUGCGCAGAUAUCAGGAGGAACACCUAUUGCGAAGGCAGCUCGCUGGGACGUAACUGACGCUGAGACGCGAAAGCGUGGGGAGCAAACAGG
rnacentral:rRNA from 1 species